CAAAAACACUGAUAUUUUUUACGCCUCACAAACCGCGACGUUGAUAUAUAUGAGUGAGAAAAAUACUCUAGUGACGUCAACAAGCACGUCAUUUCAUGUUUCAUUUGUCAUCUCCCGGCGUUCUCGAAGUCCUGGACGACCAAAUGAAUGUAAUGCGCAGAGUGAAUGGAGAGGGUUUUUCUGGGAUUUUUUAGAGGAGCCCCAGCUGGUCAAAAGAAGAACGAGAGUUGAUGAGAUUCGGCAGUCGCGAAUUGUCACGGGGGUCAUCUGAAGCUCUAGAUUAACAAAAUUAAGGUUUGUUGAAUGUUCCAACUAUAUUUAAACUUAAAUAGAAUACAUGAUAGUGUUGGGAAAGCAUUAAGAACAGUAGUACACUCCCAUCUUCGUUUGAUCUGGGCUCUUUUUGCGACGAGAUUUCUCAACUCUCCUGCCCCAGUCAAACUGACGAGAACAAGAGUUACAUGAGAGUUGACUGGAUACACUAUUAACCGUGCUGGAUAUUACCGCAUAGCGAAACCUCUCAUCGACGCUCAUCAAAUUUCCACCCAACUCAAAGUUGAUAAGAGUUGAUGAGAGUCGAUGAGAGUUGGCGGGUCAAACUGACGAGCGAGAGUUUAAAAUCUCUUAUCCUAGUUUGACUCGAUCCUUAAGCCAUGUUCACAAGAGACGUGAUUAGGAAUCAUACACAAAUUCGUCUUGUUCCAUCUGUUCACCUAGAAAUUCACACGGUCAGCUAUGUUUGAGGAGCGUCUGUGGUCAGCCGUGGGUCUGUGGUCAGCGCCAGGUUCGUGCGUCGCGCGUGUGCGUGAAAUUUGAGCACGGUUCCAGCCAUUCGCUCCCAUGUGAACGCACGAAAAACACUACAGAUUUGGCAAGCCACACCAGCCUAGACCUACGCCUUCUAUUUUUAUCUCAGAAGCAAGAAUUUCUUGGAAAUAAAAAAAACACAAAAAACUCUCUGAGUAAACGCCUUAACUAUUCAGACAUGUCGCAUUAGUAUACCGCGCUUUUAAGUUUACGACAGCCACUUGACAAUCUGAGUGACUAUCCUAAACUUCACUGAAGAGCGCGCUAUCUUCCUCAUUCCUAAAAUGAAUGACCACGACUUCUUCAUGACAGCUGCAUCUAAAAUGGAAAUCAAACGGUCUGUGCCAGUAUGAUACAAUAACACCAGAAAGCUGCGAGGGAUUCAACGGUUCAGAGGCCGCGGAAGCGUUUCGAAAGUGCUGGGGCAUUGACCAAAAGGGGCACUUUUGUAUAUGACCAAGAUCAAACGAUUUUAUGUUGAUUGCGAGCCGAACGAAAAUUUUUGAAAAUAUGGAGUCUUUAUAGCGUCAGAAAUGGCCUUUACGGAGUCUUUACUACUGCGAAAAGGGCACUUUCAUUCCAGCAAAAGAGGGCGUUCAUUCAAGAAAUACUUUUUUCGUUCUUUAAAUGAAGCACUUUAACCCAGAAAACAGGGCACUUUUUUCACUUUUGAAAAAGUGAGGGGGCAUAUGUGCCCCAUUGCCCCCCGGUUCCGCGGCCCCUGCAACAGCCUGAAAAUACCGGCAAGCCAAACUUCGACAUUUCGAACUAAAGGGACGUCGAAGUUUUAUUUGUAUAGUUGUAUUUUUCAAGUAGUUGAAACCCUCUUAUUCCACAGAUUUCUGGUGUAAAUGGAAAUGAGAUGAGCCUACGGCUACGCUUUAAUCAUUUUUCUCCAAAAUACAUCCCCACGCGCAGCUGAUCAAACGCGUAAUUGAUAUUUCACAUGUAUUACGGCAUUCCUGUUUGAGCAAGUCAUGAAUGAUUAUUUUAUCACCUUUCUAUAUAUUUAGAUAUCAGAUGAAACUGCGGUAUUAAUUUCACAUCGCGCAGUAGUCGGCAUCACACUGGAAUACAUCGAAGAAUUGUGAAACAUUUAUGUAAGCAGACAGCUUGACUAUCCUUGGCAUACUUCCUGCUUCUGAUGGUGAGGUAAGAUGCGUGAAUUAAAAUGUGUGAAAAAUGAGUUUAUAUGUAAAUGUAUUUUAAUUAUCAAGCUCUUCGCAACGGCGCAAGCUAUUUUUAUACGGCUCGUGAAUUUAAAGUCGUAUAAGGAUCAACAAGAUUUGAUUUCUAUGAUAACUCGUUUCUGAAUCAAAGAUGUAUUGUCCCGCGUCAACAGAGACCGCUUACUUGUUAGUUCUUUUGGGUAUUCCCAAACGGUGCAUGAAUAGCAGUUGAACAGCUUAAUUUUGUCGUUCAAAAUACGUGUUGGUACAGGUCCAACCUUGUUGACCCAGGACAAGUAUUGUUCAGUGCCACAGCCAUAUGUAUUUUAAUACUUUUAAACAUUAAUUUUCCUUUGCUCCACAGAACUACAAUUUUUUAUUUUCAAAUUAAUUUGAUGCUCUGGCUAAUUGUUACUGAAUAUUCAAAUUUCAAUAUUCAAAUUUUAUAUACUUAAAGAUAUGAAAUGAUGAUUUUAAGGUUAUUUGUUGUAUAAGCAGUAUUUAUUAUUAGUCAGAUACGUUUGGGCAGGCAACCCUUGGCACAUCACACGAAAUUCUAUUGUUUCUCAUUGUUUCUUUAUGAAGUCUAUGAAGAGUGCAUGACACAAGCCACGUUUAUCUCUUUAUGAAAACUAUGUAACGCUUGUAGUUAUUUGGGUUGUCACCACUAUAGAUUAACUCAUCAAAAAAUAAAAUUAGGAAACCAAUGGUCCAAAAAUAUUCAUUUCACAUUUUCGGAUAACUUACAUACCUACAUAAUUACCACUUUUAAGGUCACGUAUAAGGACAUAAUGAGUUGAAUUUGAAUUUAAUAAUCUUUUCCCAGGAGACAACCUCACCCAAAGGUGAUUUACUGGAAGAUUCUGGCUAAACAUGGGGUGUUCGGGGUCAGUAACGUAUAUAUACCAAACAAUUACCUUGCUGGCCAUGCAGAAUAGCCACGGUUCCAGUUAUGCUCGUUAACAGCAGACUACACAUGCAUGUGGUCUUUCUGUGUGACUGACAAUAUAAAUAUUUGGACCCUUGGGGCAUUUAAAGCUGUACUUCUUGACCUACACGGUCGCCACUGCAUAUAUACACCCACCUAACCUAAAAAUAUCACGGAUCAUUCUAUGACUGCAAUCUCCACAUUAAUAGGAGCAAAUUCUGUCAGUUGUGAGGAACAAAUUCUACUUUAUAAACACACACGAAUGUAUAUCCGUGUUAUUUUGCCAUGCUUCUAGCUAAGACCACGAGUUUCACGACAGUCAAUCUCAGUGUACUUAUGUGGCUCUUAUGAGCAGUACACCUGCAAUACUGGCCUAGAUAGCUAGAAGCCAUAGCCGGGUUGCUUAGGCUAUGAAAGCGUUCGACUUGACUUUCUGUUUAUUUGCGGAUAUUUCGUCUUUAGGGAAGCCUCACAUAUCGAUUUUUUCCACGAGAAACGUCAUAUGUUCGUUUGGGGGUGGGGGGGUUGGCAGCUGUGACGUUUCUCUGUAAACAUCAUGGAAAAAUUCGAUAGUUUUUAUCUUAGCAGAAUAUAAAAAAGAAAACAAUUUGAUACAAACAGCAGUCUAUAUAUUCGUAAUACCGUACCUGUUCUAUACCUAUACAUUUAUAUUAUUACGCCUUCCUUGCAUUGAAAACACUCACAUUUAAAAAAAAACGCGCUAAAAUGAUCAAUAUUUCAUGCAAAAAAAGUUGUUUUGAGAAACGUUGGAAAUUUUGAAGUUCAUACUUAUAUUAAUAAAAAAGAGUAUGUCAGCAGAAGAUGAAGCAUCGCCAAUAGCCGACCGAAAAAAAUAGUAGAAAAUUACCUUGUGUGUACUAUAAGAACAAAAUAUCGAUAACUAUGUGUGACGUUUCUAAGGGGUGGUGGUGGGGGGGGGGGUCUCCAGAGAAACGAACAUAUGACGUUUCUCGUGGACAAAAUCGAUAUGUGAGGCUUCCCUUACUGAAAGCUAGAAUACAAAUUAGUAUGUUGAUUUUGGUAAUUAUAUGUCACCACUUGGGCGUAGUGCAAUGGGAUACUACUGAUACUACUCACGCGUGGUUUUAAAGACCUGUAAACCGAAGUACAUAAUUAUGGCGCCAAUACGGGAAACUUCAAUUCACAUUUAAAGAUAAUUAGUUCUACAAGUUUCCGAAGGUUUGGACAAGUUUUUAGCCAAUUUAUUCUUCUAUUUUAAUGCACAAAUUGUCCUAACUUCGAACAGCUUACAGUUGAUCUUAAAAUACGACUUGAAGUUAGCGGUUACCGAUCUGCUGUAAACGUCAAUCUUGACCUCUCUAAUCUGUUGUUUCAACCUAUGCGAGAGAUAUUAGUGUCAAAAACAAAAAACUAUGAUUUAUGUGCCAUAAAAUACUUUAGCCCACAUUGCGGAUUAGCUAUUUCCUUGCCAGAAUUCAUUAAUAUAUAUCUGUUUAUUAUCUGUUCUCAACGUUUUUUUCAAUACAUGCGGGCAAAUGUUAUGUUCCCACAGUUCUCAGAAAACAUUAGCACAGAUUCAGCUAUUAGUUUCAUUGUGCGCAUCUUAUGAGCGCUGGACACGAAAGUCAAGGUUAACAUCACAAGCGCAGAAGCCCUGGGUGAAUGGUUUUUGAUUGGCUGUCUGUUAGAGAUACAGUAGGCAGAGGCUUACUUUUUUUGCUGUUACCAAAAACGAUCAAAAACGGUGACAACAAAAAAACCGGUAACACUUUCGGAGUUCAUUAUCAGUUAAACUCCUUAUAAUUACAGCGUAGCCAGCAUCAACCUACCGUCGACCUAAACCCUAUGAUCGAACACAAUUACACUGAACCCUUGGCAUCGCUUCUACAAUGAGAACAUUUGAUUUUUACUUUUUGUAACAAUAGAAGACUGGUCCGCAAGCAUAUAUUUAGAGCAAUAGAGGGAACAUAAAAGUGCAUAAAUUAAAAAGGGUUAAAAUGAACUCAAAAGAAUCGUUCUGGGGUCAAAUUUUACAGUGCAUAAUUAUAAAAUAAUAUAUACCUUAAUUAAUAUUGUACUAAAAGCCGAGACACACCGGACGCGAUUCGACAACGCGUCGCGAUUUUUCAAUUUUUGAAAGUUAAUAAAACAGCCAAUGAAAGGAAAUUUUAAAAGAUAUGUGGACCAAAUAACUCAAAAUGUUAUAGCGCUUCUAAAUAUUUGAAAAACUUGAACCAGGACCAAAGUUAUCGGUCAGUGAAAAUCGAAAAAUCGCGCUGCGUUGUCGAAUCGCAUCCGGUCUGGUUUGGCCUCUGGGCCUUUAAGAUGGCAGAUAAUGCCGUGACUUGUUUACAAUGAAAAUUUUGUCGUAUUCAUAAAUUUUUAAUUGUUACUUUCUAUAUAUAAUAUUUCCAUGACGUGCCAAUUAAUAAUAUCGUUAGAUAGAGUGAUAUUCAUCAUCAUAACAAAAUACCGACAAAAAAGAAAAUUGAAAUAAGACAACCAGUUUAUGCAAUCAUCAACAUAAUGUCGAAAGCACCUGAAUCAUAAAUACGUAAUGACAAAUUAACAGCACAAACUAUGCCGAAAUUUUUUAAGGAAUUCACCGAAAGCGAGAAAUAAUGGAACACACGCGGUGCUUAGUUUUGGAUUUCUUUAAUCAAUAAUUAAAUCUCGUCGGUUAUAAUUUCGACUCGUACUGUACAACAUUAUAAAAUAACGAACAGAGAUCGCUAAACUGUUGUGUAAUCUACAUGCUCCUGGAAAGCGUUUAUAUAAAAGGUGCAAAGAAAAAGUCGAAAAUCUGAGGUGAGAUCCAAUACAUCUUUUGUCAUUGACCUUGUGUUUGCAAACAUUUGGAAGCAAUGUGUGGAUUAUUCACACUUCCUCAUAUAAGUGGCCAAUACCGAUUCGAAGUUUAUCGUGUAAAGUGUGGGUUCACUAGAAAUGGGGCUCUGCAACACAUGUGGUCGAUGACUCUAAAAGGAAAAAUAGUCAUUUUGAUGGCUAAUUGUUUAUCUAUACAUGUAACAUGUUGAUCUUGUGUUUGCCUGCAAAUGCAUGUAAUGACAACAUUUAGCCGUCAUUUGCCCAUUUAAACAACAUGUAACAACCGAUUUGAGGUUCGCGCAACAUCAUAUAAAACAUGACUUCUUUUAAAUUGUAACGGUUGCGAACACGCAAGGUGGUUGAUCAAAUAGAAUACCGAUGUAGCCUACUUCUGUAAUUAUUAAAUUGAGAUUUGCAUAUUGCACACAAAAGAUCCCGCAAAGGACAAGAUCCGAUGGCGAUGCUGACUUUACAUCGUCGAACAUAUAACGAGGUCAAGUUUAGCUAUACAGAGGAAAUUUUAAUACGACCUGGUAAUUUUCAUUUACGAGAGCCGAAGUUGUUUUCUACGUGGCCAUAAAUGGCAACCAUCUUCACUCUUUCAAUUAAAGUGAGAUCGCAAUCCGCCCGCAAACUUACACUUAGUACGUGUAGUGAUGAAAGGCGUGCAAAAACUUGAUUAUUUUGUCAUCUGUUUGCUUAUUACGUUAAUUAUAAAUAUUCAAAAUACUUUGGGGAAAUUCAAUUUAAACAUUUGUAAACAUAUUGCAUUGAUGGCAUAUGUCAGUCUGUUUGAAAAUGCUGUAUGAAACGUAAUACGAAUCUCCGAAAUGUUUAUACACGUUCAUGGACAUGGACAAGACACCCAAUAUCAAAUCCUCAUGCAACAGACACCCAAUAUCAAAACCUGAAAACCUCAUGCAUAAAAUAUACCUUACUUAGAAUGCUGCCACUUAACUAGUUAACACAUUAUAAAUAAACAAACACUUCUCUAGAGUAAAGUUAUAAACUUCGUUUUGAUCAGAUAUCGGCUAUGGCUUAUCGGAAGCUUAAGGCAGAUUUACACCACACGACUUUUGCCUAAAACUGUUGCAUGUAACCUGCUUAUAACUUGAAUUCUACUGUGUAUAUUUCAAGCACACAACAGAUUGCAUGGGACAGUUUUCCGCAAAAGUUCAGUAGUGUAAAUCGGUCUUUAGCUGGCUGAUUCCAUCCCACGGUACGACUACGUUGCCGUAGGUGAAAUUGUAGGGAGCUUUAGAUUUGACUACGAGUACGAGAUUUGAUCGCGUGCGAGGAAAUUACCGUAGUCGUUUUCGCUUCCAUUCAAAUGUUGCUUUUAUAGCAGUAGACCAACAACGAGAGAAAAAGUUUCAUAAACUAAAUCUCCUGCAGACUAAAAUCCUCUCGAAAACGUGUAAAUAAGUCCUAACAUUAAAAACAGGCCAGAUAUUUAGUACUAUAAUAUAUUAUUUGCGCCGGAUAAACGCUAUAUAAGUGCUACAAAUUAUUUUUGGUAAACCAAAAAAAAGCCAACUUUCUUUUUUUUUAAAGUCGUCGUAAGGACUACGAGAUUUCUCCACAAUUUCGUGCUCAGAUGGGCGACGGCUACGACUUUUUCGCGUCAGUACGGGAUGGCGUAAGCAUACAGCAUGCGUUAAUUCGCUUGACGAAUCUCGUGCUCGUAGUCAAAUCUAAAGCUCCCUAUGUGUUGCAUGCGACAGUUUUGGACCGUUUUGCGCAAAUGUUGGGCAGUUUGAAUCGGCCUUUACCCAGUCUCCGCGCGCAUGUGCAAACAGAUUUCAUGUCAGUCGUUAGGCCCAUGCAUAUUCUCUUGUACCAUGCAUGAUGUUUCAGGGCGACUUGCGCAAGGAUCGACUCAUAUUUAUUAAAUUAAUAUAGAUCAGUGAAUCGCACCAUACACAAAUUACAUUUGAAUUCCCACAAAUAUGCCGUUGACAACCUGUUAAUGCAUUUUACGUCAUACUAUCCGAAGGUUCGGGAUAAGAAUGGCUUAUGUCUUUCAAGGCUUUAAUUUUCUCUUUAAAUAAAAAAUCCACUCAAAAUGAAAAGUUCACAACUAUAUUAUAUGGAUCUGCUUGUUGAUCUGUGAAAAACAAUUAAAUUGCUACCAGAAUACGAAACAAUUCUACGAAUUUUUCCACAAGACGACCAAACAUGCAUGCCUUUGUUUAAAGCAAUAUAUAGCUUCUAUGAUUUUUCCCCGCGGGCGAAAUUCCAUUUUGCAGAGCCAGCUGGGUAGAUAGCUUCGGCUUAAGCUUUUGCUUAAACCGUUUAUGCAUGGGAAACUCAAUGGAUUAAAAAGGGAUAGUUUUUUCAUACUAAGAUUUAUUGUUUUAUUAAUCAGUAAUUUGUCAAAAAAAUUUGAAGUUCGAGAAACGCGCAUAAGUGCUGUGUGUAUUUCAUCACUCGAAUAUUUAUGCACUGCGAAACUAAUCUCUUUAAGGAUAUGUAAUUAUGGUAACAGAUGUCAAAUACAGAUGACAAAUUCAUGAUUAUUUUUUUAUCUAGGUUUGUCUUGCAAAGAGGGAAGGGUACUUUGUGUCAUUACACGUUAAAGUGCGCUUAAAUACACUACAAAGAGAAGACGGAAUCCUCAGAAUCCUCUGAAGUAAGUGGAUACGCCUAUAUACAAAUAAAUAAUCUUCCAAAUUCGAGUCCAAAUUAACCUUUGUCUUACGUACUUGCAUGAUCGGAUCGAUUGAAGUACACGACCCCAUAGGUUAGCGCUCUAUUGAACUGUUUCGCUCUCCCUUAGAAAAUCAUUUUUGACCUCGCGGUGACAACCCAAUUGAACAAUUCAUGACGUUGUCCUGGACAAAAGUUCAAUACAGCGCUAAUUUAUUGAAGGUCUCCAAUUUGCGGUUAUAGGUGAUUUGCUAUUUGGGCGAAAUCGUUUGAAAUGUAAGUAGCUGUAUCCAUUUUCUCAAUUAACUCUUGCCUUCUUGCAUCAGUUACCAUGCAGAGCGUCAUCCAUAGAAAUUGAUCAAUUUCGUAUAAAUAUAUACAGAUGACAAAAUAUUGAUUGAUAGCACUGAACAUAAAUUACUGGCUUGUUUGUUUGUGUUAUUGUUUUGCAGCAUAGUCUGUCAAGAUAUGAUGGUCAAGAAGCCCGGCAACUGACUCAAAGCCACAAAACAGAAGAGCUUUGUUUGAUGUUGAAUUGUGCCUCACCGUGCACAAAUCCUUUGUCUCAACUUCAUUAAAUAUUAUUCAUCGUGGUUAUAUGGUAUCCCUAUUGAACGACCAUACAACGAGCUCAAUCACUUUGUCUUCAAUGCGCAAAUUAAUAUAAACGCAGACAAAAACAUAUAACACAACGACUUCUGUUUAGUUUCUAGAUCAUCCUAUCCGUUGAUAGACGAUGUUUAUAGGUACUAAAACUGUCUGUACCAGUGUAGGUAGUACCAAUGUAGAAAUGCUGUGCUCUACUAACUCUUGACGAAGGGCCUUCGCUCGAAACGUCGAGUUUCUGCUUAUUUUUUAAGGUAGUAAUAUAACCACUCAGCACAGCAUUAUGUUUGUAGGUAGUUGUCAUAUAUAUACACACUAUAUAUUCGCUGUUAUGCGCUAACUUCUAAUUUUCGAUGUGCUGUUUAUCAAAUCAGCCUACUGUUGCCUACUUCGCGAGUUUCUUCAUAAAAUAGCAUGAGUUCUGGGUUCAUGUAAGCUUCUGCGGAGGAGAGAGAACAAGACAACAUGAGCCGACAACACAGAGGCCUGGUUAAAAUGUCGACCAUAACAGCAAAAUUCUAGACUUUUCCAAUUAGUACGUUCCUUAUCCCCAAAAUACUCGAGGCUUUGUAAGUGCUUACUCAUAUAUAAAAAACAUCCAAAGGUUAAUAGCCAUGGGCAAAUUUGCCAUUUACAUCUUAGCAACGAUGUAAAUAAUUUUGUUGUUUACAUCGUUGCUGCGCAAUUCACAACAGCUUUAGAUAACUGUCUUGCCUACAUGGACGUAGCGAUCGACAAGUGUAGGAUACUAGGAGGGAGGAUAUAACCCCCGCCUUACCCCCCCCCCCAAUAUUUGUUGCUGGGUCAUUUCAGGUAGAUUUCUAGGUAAUUUAAUUAAGCUGAUUUUCAGGUAAAUUGUGAGCAUUGACAAGCAAACGUGGACGUUAAACAGGAGAGCAAGCUAAGAGUGCCAAAUUUUAGUUGCAUUUUCGGGCUUUCGAAUUCCGAGGGUCUAAAUCUUCAAAAAUAUUUCGGGGGAGCAUCCCUCCCCCCAACCCCCUAGUAGAUUUAGCCCCGUAUCCAUUAUGCUAAUAUAUUCUUCAUCGAAAAAAACACCUGCUACUUUUGAAUGUACACAUGAAAAAAUUACAAGCUGGCUAACUAAAUUUGAAAAACUACUUAAAAAAUCAGGUAAUUUGGACUCUGCAUAAGAUGAAACGUGUAACCAGGAUGAAUAAUAUUUAAUGAAGUUGAGACAAAGGAUUUCGGCACGGUGAGGUAUAGUUCAACAUCAAACAAAGCUCUUCUGUUUUGUAGCUUUGACCAUCCUAUCUUGACAGAUGUUGUUAGAAUAGAAGGACAGAAAAAGAGUAUUAGGAUGUCAGGGCUCUUUCAUAUUAUUUAAUGCCAGCAAGGAAAAUUUAUAUAUUAUAUGCCUGCAAAAAUGCAUCGUAUAUUUUAGGUUUUGGGAGCUAAAUUUUACCGAGAAUUUAAAAUGUGUAAUUUCACUUUGUAUAUUUAAUUUUUUAAUUUGGCAAUGACUAUAAUGAUUGUAUCGAACGGCUUGAAAUAUUUUAGUCAGUAUAGAUUGCGCACUUUCUAUAUGCCCAAACCCGUGUGUAGUUCUUGGACUAAAUUUCGCCAAGAUUGUUAUUGAUCAUGUUUUCUAUUUCACUGCUCCAACAAAAUGAGUUGAAUAGCAAGAUUCCCAGAUUGAGUGAAAACACUGGCAACGGGAAGUGAUGUACAUUUGAUAAACGCGGUACUUGAUAUGCGUUCGCAUGAUGGGCUUACAUAAAGCCAAACAUUCUCGAAACGGAUUUGAUUGCAAUCUAAAAUAAGUUGUCUGCUUUCUCAUUAUCAAUCUUGAAGGCUCGAAGCGGUCUGUUAGUAUUUAGUUAGUAGUCCAGCUAUUUUUUGAAACGAUGACAAUCGGUCAUAGAUCACUCUUACGUCGUUAUCCAAACUGCCCCCGCGGGUUUAAUUUACCCCCGACUGGAUCUCUUUUAUUCAUGGCCUAUUGUCCGAAAUUGUUUGUUUACUUUUUCAUUAGAUCUGAUCACCGCUAGCGAUCGUCUUUGUGCUUUCUAAAAUAUGUAUGUCUAAUAUAUUCAACUCCUAUAUUAAUACAACACAGAAUAGAGACCUUACUGAAUUUGUUUACUUUUUCAUUAAAUCUUCACCGCUAGCGAUCGUCUUUGUGCUUUCUAAAAUAUGUAUGUCUAAUAUAUUCAACUCCUAUAUUAAUAUAACACAGAAUAGAGACCUUACUGAAGGCCGACUUCUUGGUUUUGCCAUGAUUUCGGCGUUAACCGUUCUUACGAGACUCGAGGCAUUCAUCCCCCUGAAAAUAUUCAAAAUAUAGUGAAUGUUCGGGGGGGAGGGGGCGUGAAUGCCUCAGUAAACGUACUGACUAGGAACAUGGCAAGUGCAUUUUGAUGACGAAUCAUGGUGUGGAGCAUAGAGAUUAUAAAUAACACAUGAAGGCCGAUACUCCACUACAUUUUACACAAAAAAAGUUUAUACCUGUAUUAAUUUAUUAAAGUGCCUAUGACACGAAAUUUCACCCCAAAUGUUUAUGGUUGUAUUGAGCACCAUGCACCAAAGGUGUGUGACUUUCUAUGGGGGUCCGUAGAUUCACUGAAAUAUAUAGUGUUCUAUGGUGUGGUAGCGGUUGCGAUUUUUUUGGAAAGUGAUUUUUAUAUAUGAGUCAUAUCUAGCAACUGCAAGUUAAUUAACGUCCACAAAACAUACAGAAGGGAUUUCUUAGAAAUUAACUUUUUGCCUUUUUAAAGUCUGUAAAGAUCUGGUAUGAACAUAAUGAUAUAGGGGUUGUUGAAAUGAGCUGCAGGGAAUUGCAGCCCGGCCAGCAGGGUGAAUUGUGUCACGAAAUUUUUUGAAUGAACUUUAUACUAUUCUUGGAAUCAAACUAAGCUAAUUCAACUUUGAAAUGUCAAUUUAAAUGUUUGUCAAAGCCGUGAUAAGCUUUAUUAAACUAAUCAUCCCGCUCAACCGUGUCAGCUCCAUAUAGGAACAGCCCGUUAGUAGAGACGAGAUGAGAAAAGGUAUAAAAUCUAAAACCUUUUUGUGCAUGUGCAAGAGAAUACGUAGGAAGGCAUUUGUUGUUUUGUAUUCCUUUAAUUGUGAGACGUCCAGAAGGUCGAAGGAAGACGAAGGAUAAGAUGGCGUGAUACUGUGAGAUCUGAGAGAUUUAAUAUAUUAGCUGGGCCUGGGUUCAUCAAAGUCACGUUAAUUUUUAGUGUUAAUGGACAUUUCUACUAUAUCAACAAAGCAAAAAUGAGCUAUUCUAUAUGGCGCAUAUUUCCAAUAUUAGGCUUUCUUAAUUAUAGUAGUGAAAACAAAUUAAUAUAAAAUUUUAAUUAACAUUUCUACUAUAUCAUCAAAGCAAAAAUGAGCUUUUCUACAUCGUGUAUAUAUAUUUAUCUGCAUGUAUUGGGCUUCUCUUCCAUAAACGCUUGACUUCUACACUUGAAAUUUUGACUGUAGGUUAUUUUUUGCACUUGUCUUCAAAUUUUGACAGUAGGAAAUGUUUUCUUGUAAGUUUUUUCGAUUUCAAUAUGUGAUAGUUAAAUUAACUGUCGUGUAUCGUUUUCGGUUAACCAGAUAUGCAAAUAUGUUAUACAUAUGUUUUAACAUUGAUUAAAAGGCAAAAUUAGAAAUAUUUGGAGAAAAUAAUAUUGUUUCUAAGCAUCCCAAAUUCAUGAUGAGGAUACUACCUGGCAGUACCUGCAUGUACUACUAACGAAACCGAAUUAAUUUGAAUGAAAGAGAUUAAGAGAAAAGUUGUAUUUUAUAACUCUCUCGAGCUUUGUGAUUAUCUGCAGUUAUUGAACAACAUGUUUUAUUUAUAGUGUGUAGUACAUGUUAUCGUAUUUUAUCGGCAACUGAUGUAAUUAAAUUAUCUUUCCUGUUAGAAAAAGUCAUAACAUUCGCCAUAUGUGUCAAACGUCACAAUGGUAUCUUGGAAAAUCAGGAAUGCGAUUAUGGACCGAUGUGCAAAUGGUUGGACAGUGCAUGCAAAUACUGAUAAAUGGAACGAAUAAUGUCAAAUAAUUCUACUCAAGUCAUCAUCUGUUUUUACAGCGAACGUUUUUAUCCAAACAAAACGCUCUUGUUUAUGUUAUUCCAUUCCGUGAUCUUUACGACUUCAGAUUGUUCUAAUUUCAAUUAGAAUCAUCUGAAUUCAUUCUAAUUUCAAUCAAAAUGGUUUUCUAAUUCCAAUUUAGAACAUUUCUUAGUUUAUAAUUCUAAUCAGAAGGUUCUUCAUUUUAUUGUCAUUCCAAUGAGAAUGCUUUUCUGUUCUUUCUAAUGUUCAUGACAUGAUAUGACGCCCAAACGCCACUUUUCAGUAAUCAUGUUCCAGAAUCCAGUUUUUUUUUGAUAGCACAACCCUCGCAAUGCUAAUUACUUUUGUUCUCUUUGCAGGUGAUGUUAGAACAGUCACGGGCGUCUUGAACGGACCUCUCAAAUUCUCAUCCAAGAAGUAAUUUCACGAAGCUUGAAGAAGCAGGUA